AAAUGACAGGGGACAUGAGUUU
rnacentral:miRNA from 1 species